rnacentral:rRNA from 1 species
GACGAACGCUGGCGGCGUGCCUAAUACAUGCAAGUCGAGCGGACGGAUGGGAGCUUGCUCCCUGAAGUCAGCGGCGGACGGGUGAGUAACACGUGGGCAACCUGCCUGUAAGACUGGGAUAACUCCGGGAAACCGGGGCUAAUACCGGAUAACUCUUUUCCUCACAUGAGGAGAAGCUGAAAGAUGGUUUCGGCUAUCACUUACAGAUGGGCCCGCGGCGCAUUAGCUAGUUGGUGAGGUAACGGCUCACCAAGGCCACGAUGCGUAGCCGACCUGAGAGGGUGAUCGGCCACACUGGGACUGAGACACGGCCCAGACUCCUACGGGAGUCAGCAGUAGGGAAUCUUCCGCAAUGGACGAAAGUCUGACGGAGCAACGCCGCGUGAGUGAUGAAGGUUUUCGGAUCGUAAAACUCUGUUGUCAGGGAAGAACAAGUACCGGAGUAACUGCCGGUACCUUGACGGUACCUGACCAGAAAGCCACGGCUAACUACGUGCCAGCCGCCGCGGUAACAC